GACGUAGGGUGCAAGCAUUGUCCGGAUUUAUUGGGCGUAAAGAGCUCGUAGGCGGCUUGUCACGUCAGAUGUGAAAACUCGGGGCUCAACCCCGAGCCUGCAUUCGAUACGGGCUAGCUAGAGUGUUGCAGGGGAGACUGGAAUUCCUGGUGUAGCGGUGAAAUGCGCAGAUAUCAGGAGGAACACCGGUGGCGAAGGCGGGUCUCUGGGUAACUACUGACGCUGAGGAGCGAAAGCGUGGGGAGCGAACAGG
rnacentral:rRNA from 1 species